UCACAGAUUUUCUUCUUUCCGCGUUGAACUUUUGUUUCAUUUCUUUUGCCGGAGAUAGUUACAGCGGGAGGAAAUUCUCUUUAAGGUUAUUGUCAGUUGACGAAACCCCGCCGGGACAGCAGUACUGCAGUUUUCUCAUCUAGUCUGUCUUAGUACGAAACCCGGCCUCAGCUGGGGGUUCCUGGCUUUUCCUGGGAGCUACGUGGGCUCAGCUGAGAAGGCAAUGGCACCUCACUCCAGUACUCUUGCCUGGAAAAUCCCAUGGAUGGAGGAGCCUGGUGGGCUGCCGUCUGUGGGGGUCGCACGGAGUCGGACAAGACUGAAGCGACUUAGCAACAGCAGCAUGUGGGCUCAGGAGACCGACUCAAAACUAUUCUCCUUCCGAAAUUUACAGCCCUGAAGAUUGGGAUUCCACUAUCACACAGGAAUGGAAUCUUUUCUUCCACCCUGUGUAUUACCUUUUCUUGUCUGUGAAAUGGGGACGAGUUCAGUUCCCAACUUUGCGUGGAGAAGCAAUGAGACCUGCUCAUUUGGCUUCGAAAAAUUUUGAAUGAAUACCCAGAACACACUUCA